GAUGAAGAACGCAGCGUAAUGCGAUACUUGGUGUGAAUUGCAGAAUCCCGUGAACCAUCGAGUCUUUGAACGCAAGUUGCGCCCGAAGCCGUCAGGCCGAGGGCACGCCUGCCUGGGCGUCACACGCCGUUGCCCCCCCGCGCCCCGCACCCAACUCUUUGGGAGCGACCGCGGGGCGGGCUGAUGAUGGCCUCCCGUGCGCUCCGCCGCGCGGUUGGCCCAAAUACCGAGUCCCCGGCGACGUGCGCCACGACGAUCGGUGGUUGAGAGACCUCUGUCGCAAGUCGUGCGCGCCCGUCGCGUCACGCGGGCUCGCAUAGCGCCUCGCGCCGCACCCGGUGCGGAGCUUUCAACGCGACCCCAGGUCAGGCGGGGUUACCCGCUGAAUUUAAGCAUAUCAAUAAGCGGAGGA
rnacentral:misc_RNA from 1 species